AGGAGUGACUAUGAACAGAGGCAGUGCCAUUUCUAAAACAAUAUGCCUGUCAUAGCAAAGCAUAUGGGGGGGGGGAUUAAGGUAGGAACCGCUUUUCAGCUCAAGUGCCCUAAUGUCACCAUCCGUCAUGUAGCCCUUCCUCAUAACGUCCAGGAAUAGGGUUAACUCUCACACCUCCCUCCCUCUGCUCUCCCUCCCUUCUACACGCACAAGCUACUCGCUGGAAUGGUUGCAAGAUUCAAAUGUGCCUGGCCUGACAAUGCUAGUGCUGCGCAUUGUUAUGCAACUCACUGUCUGGGAGGGCAGCUUGUAGCUUCUCUAUUCUGCAAGUACCAGGUGCACAUAUAGUCAAGUGUCACAGAUCGCUACUGUAAUGCAACUCCAAGCACGGCCACUUUGUUCGCCUGGUGGAGCUGGCUGCCGAGUUUUGCAAUGUUCAGGAAGACGCCUGGGGAUUAUUUGCUUGUGAUGCCUGCUUAAGGUGUGAGGCGAGUUCUGUUUGGGGAACCUCUUGCAUUGGGAACACCUUCCACGCAAACUGUAAUCAAGCUCACAAGACACGGACCAUGUUACCAGCAAGGAGGCUUAUGGGAACGGAGUGUGGCUUCCAAUCUUAUCUUAAGGGAAAACUGACACGGGGGAGUCAGCCAGGCAAAUGAAAAGGCAACGCAUACAAUGUGCAUAUUUACCACAGUAAUAAAUCAUUCAUCCCUUUAAACUCUACAAUCAAAGGAAAGAAAAGACUGCGUGGAUCUUAACAGAAGAGAAGCCUCGUGGAAAACUAUUCACACGAUGUGGAUCAAUAUCGAGUAGCAUCUUUUUCCCCGUCGCCUGGAUUCAUUGGAUUAAUGAUAGAUUGAGGGUCCAUGAAUUUUGUUGCUCUUUGCCGUUCGUUAUUAAAAGAGGAAGGAAACGGAGGGGGGGAAAAAUGCAUGUAUUCACGCGUGUAUGUGUGUUAUGCUUCCCGUCAGUUUGCAAGGCACUUGAUUUCUCUUUGUGUGAGGACAUAGAAGCAUGACUGAUGCCAGUGUACUCCUGAUGCAGAGUAGGACAGUCUUCAGAGGCGUGCUGAAGACAUUUCUGGGAAAAAUGGUCACAUCUGCUAUCACUGCAGCAGCAGCAGAAGUGAAGAGGCAAGAGGAGAAAGAGGAAAAAGAGGAGUCCAUUUUGGCCAUGUUGGGAAUUAUAGGAACUGUGCUAAAUCUCCUUGUCAUCAUUUUUGUUUACAUCUAUACUACCCUCUGACAGCCUUUACCUGCCUCGGAGGCGUAACAAGUGAGAGGUUAACGUAAACCCCAAGAGCUGGGAGAAAAUGAAAAGUAUGGUGGGAAAGAAGAAGACACUUCAAGAGAUCUCCGCUACGAACUAUCCAAUACAUUCCAGAGCUAAGUGCCUAGGUGGAUCACGGGCAAUGGGGCGCAUUUGUCAAUGUAGAUAGGACUACAACUAAACACGCCAGCCAAUGAAAGCUGCACGCUCUCAAUCUGGCUCCAAUGAGAGGCCAUAGAAACAAAAGGUAAUGCCGAGCUACAUCAAUUCUUAAAGGAGCCAAUAUGAUUGCUGUGCUACUGCCAUAUUAUAUCAGGAAUGGAUACAGGAAAGGAUAUUUGUCCGCACCAAUUUCCAUCACAUGGCAUCACACUUUGUCAUGCGUUCACCAUACGAUACACCAUGAGACAACAUGAAAAGACUCAAUAAUGCUUCCACGCAGGUACAUCCAUGGAUGGAUUUUACAGAGCCACAAUACGGUUUUCCCCAAAUAUUUUAUUUUUUAAAUUCCCUUACUAAACUUGUUGAAAUAUCAUAAAAAGGACUAUUCUGCUUCUACUAACAAGUGAAUUACACCCCAUAAUACAAUAAAAUGUUUUAAUGAGAUUGUUUUGUAUUUUGCCAAUGGGAGGACUAAGGUGACAUGUAUUUUGUUAAAAGGCUGUGUCUUGGUGCUUGGGGGAUUCAAAGGUGUGGAAAUCGGGUUAGAAAUGUUUAAUGAAUGGAAUGGUAUCUUAUAGCAAGGAUGAUGGAACGUGUAGAAAGUGGAUACACUUUCUGCAUCAGUUACGUAUAUCUUUAAACCCUAAAAAAAACCUGAAUAAUGAGGUGCGUAUGGAUGGGAUUGAGUAAAGACCACACUGGCCGCAAAAGCAAAAAAAAUAUCGGAAGCCAAUAAGAAAUGUUGUAAAUUCUGGGAAUGUUUUUGUAGCAUUGAAGAAUUAAAAUUGGCAGGACAGAACCAUCUUCAUUA